CAGUCGCCGCGGGAAUACGGAGGGUGCAAGCGUUAUCCGGAUUCACUGGGUUUAAAGGGUGCGUAGGCGGGCAGGUAAGUCAGUGGUGAAAUCUUCGAGCUUAACUCGGAAACUGCCGUUGAUACUAUCUGUCUUGAAUAACGUUGAGGUGAGCGGAAUAUGUCGUGUAGCGGUGAAAUGCUUAGAUAUGACAUAGAACACCGAUUGCGAAGGCAGCUCACUAAACGCUCAUUGACGCUGAGGCACGAAAGCGUGGGGAUCAAACAGGAUUAGAUACCCCCGUAGUCCCUGUCUCUUAUAC
rnacentral:rRNA from 1 species